rnacentral:rRNA from 1 species
UAGGGAAUCUUCCGCAAUGGACGAAAGUCUGACGGAGCAACGCCGCGUGAGUGAUGAAGGUUUUCGGAUCGUAAAGCUCUGUUGCCAGGGAAGAACGCUUGGGAGAGUAACUGCUCUCAAGGUGACGGUACCUGAGAAGAAAGCCCCGGCUAACUACGUGCCAGCAGCCGCGGUAAUACGUAGGGGGCAAGCGUUGUCCGGAAUUAUUGGGCGUAAAGCGCGCGCAGGCGGUUAAUUAAGUCUGAUGUUUAAGGCCAAGGCUCAACCUUGGUUCGCAUUGGAAACUGGUUAACUUGAGUACAGAAGAGGAAAGUGGAAUUCCACGUGUAGCGGUGAAAUGCGUAGAGAUGUGGAGGAACACCAGUGGCGAAGGCGACUUUCUGGGCUGUAACUGACGCUGAGGCGCGAAAGCGUGGGGAGCAAACAGGAUUAGAUACCCCCGUAGUCC